rnacentral:rRNA from 1 species
UGGGGAAUAUUGGACAAUGGGCGAAAGCCUGAUCCAGCCAUGCCGCGUGUGUGAAGAAGGUCUUCGGAUUGUAAAGCACUUUAAGUUGGGAGGAAGGGCAUUAACCUAAUACGUUAGUGUUUUGACGUUACCGACAGAAUAAGCACCGGCUAACUCUGUGCCAGCAGCCGCGGUAAUACAGAGGGUGCAAGCGUUAAUCGGAAUUACUGGGCGUAAAGCGCGCGUAGGUGGUUUGUUAAGUUGGAUGUGAAAGCCCCGGGCUCAACCUGGGAACUGCAUCCAAAACUGGCAAGCUAGAGUACGGAAGAGGGUGGUGGAAUUUCCUGUGUAGCGGUGAAAUGCGAAGAUAUAGGAAGGAACACCAGUGGCGAAGGCGACCACCUGGACUGAUACUGACACUGAGGUGCGAAAGCGUGGGGAGCAAACA